CUCCCAAAGGUCAAGGUUCUGUACAGCAAAGGUUCCCAACCCCCGGGCUGCAAAAGGUUGGCUGCCAGCCCACAGGAGGGUUGGCUGCCACACUCGGAUGCUCCCAGAUCCUUUGAAGGGCAAUGCAGGAAGUGUGAGGAGAGACGUGGAUAAAAACAGGCUCAGGCUUCAGAUGUAGGAAGAUAAGUAAAUAUGGGCAGGCUCAGGCUCCCCCUGCCUAACUGCUCCCUCACCUCCACUGCCUGUCCCCUCUCCAAGAAGAAAUAACGCCUGCCACGGGGUCUAAGAGAAUUCAGCCUUGCUAUCAGUCUUUCUACAGAUCAGCUGAGAAGGAAGAUAACAGUAUGCAGCACUUCCAACUGGAUGAACUCAGCAAGCCAACACUUAAAUUAUACCACUUAAAUGACCAAUACUUAAAUUCAUUAGUUCUACAAAAGGGACAUAGUGGAUGGUUUCUAAAGUGCUCAUUGUGGUUACUGCUGCUGGCAAGAAUUACUAGUCUUGAAAAUGGAACAUUACUCUGCUAAUUUUGAUAUAAAAUAUUACAUACACAGUGUGUGUGAGUGCGUGUGAGAAUUUAUAAAAUGUGCCUAAUUUUCCAACUCAGAGAUAAGGCUCAUCAAAAGGUGGGGAAAGAAAGCCUGCCUUUAAAUUAAUUAACUUGCCUAUAAAGAAUAUUGGGAUUUGCUUCCUGUACUUCAACCUCCGGUUGUGGAGCAGGCUGAAAGAGCUAAUUCCAGAAUCUUGUGUUCUUUACUAAGAAAGAAAGAAGACACCAGUCCUUGCACAUUUAAAGAGUGCUGUCUCAAAAGCUGCUUGAGCAGUUCUGUCUAAGCUAUAGGAUAUUGUUAUUGCAAGGUCCUGUGACUUUUUACUAAAACUUGUCAUAACAUUGUUUUUCUAAAAACACAGAAGUUAAAAAAAAUAAUAAUACUAAUUGUUGAAGUUUCCUAUGUAAAACUGAAAAGUGCGUUCAUUUGGUUUGGUUUUAAUUCUGAAAUGCCACUUCACUGCCUUAUGAGCAGGCUUGGCAGAAUUUUAUUUUAUUUUUUAAUAAUUUUGACAGAUAAUAUUGAUGUCUAUUUUUAAGCAUUUAUUUUGAUUUUUAUUGAUUUGAAUUUUGAGGACUGCAGUAUAACUGCCCCCUACAACAAACACAGCUACUAUAGGACUGCCAUCAGCUGAGUGGCAGAGCUGCUAUCAGUCCCAGUUCCACUUGCCCAUAUCUCCCUCAUCUGCUUUGUCACUUCCUCUUCCUUUGUUCCCAGUUACCUGGGGUUUCUGGAAGUUGCAGUCUAAACUACAUUCAGCAUAGUUCUGUAGGACUGAUUGAUCUGUUGUCAUAUAUUCCACCAGGCAUCAUUUUUCUUACACCCCCGCACCUUUCUAUACAUUUUGAUUAUUAGCAAUGGAAAUAUUUUUUUUCAUUGGUCUGUAAGUGUGAGGUGAAAUCAACAUUUAUCAACAUUUACCAAUAAAAAUUGAAUCCUGUCAAGCCUA